UUAGAAAGCACAAGUUUUCCUCUUUCCACUCACUCCACGUUGCCUAAACCGCGGUUUCCUCUUCCCGGCGGCGCUGGGACUGCGGCAGCUGAGGCGCGCUCCGCUCCCGGGAACCUCGGGCCUUGGCGCGCCAUUUUCCGUCGCGCAGUUAGUUGCCGGGGCGUCCUGAGACCUUUUGAUCGGGUCCCUUUCGUCUCUAGGCCCCUCGGCGAUCUCCGAUCAGACUCACCCACCAGAGCACCGCCACAAAGGUCCGGGGAAGAAACCUCUCACCUCCCUGGAGUCUCAGCUCAGCGUUUGGGAAGGAACCGUUUAAAAACCCAGGACAUUCACGAUCUUGGUGCAAAUGUGUUGGCGCUGUGGGACGAGCGUCGUUGGACAACUUUCAAACCACAGCGCCAGGGCAGCCAAGCAUCCUGACGACCGGAAGUGCCUGUGGGGAAGCUGGACUUGCACUUAGAUUGCACUUGGAGACCUCCAGCCUCCUCUAACCCAGGCCUCUUAAGGAAUGUGAAUCAAUAAGUGGCAUAAAUUAUUCACCUCAAGGAACAUUCUCAGAAAUGAACGUCAGACUGGAGAAAUCGCCAGCAGGGUAUUCGCUCUUUUCAGUGUUUGGCUCUCGGCUCACCUUCUGAAUGGCUGGGCCUGUCUAAGCUAUGAAACAUUCAGAUUUCAGAGAAGAAUGAUGACUCUAAGUUGUGCUGAGAUUUCAAGGCAACUCUGAGUUUCCUUUUCAGCCUCUUCCGCAGGGUCAGGGAAAGAGCGUGUGGGCACAGUGUCAUUGUGGGCAAUGCCAUAGGACCCCUCUGUGCCGUGAUCUCAGGGUCUGGAAAGGACCUGUCCUCUGUUCAAACAGGCCUUUUCUCCUUGCUGGCUGAGAUAUCAGAAAUUCAACCCCUCUCUUAAAACCAUUCCAAGGGCUUUGCCUCUUUGGAAGGCUCCUUUCAAACUGCAAAGCCUCAGGAGGGGAGGAGAGGAAAAUUAAAAUGUAUUGAACACCUUCUGGGAUUUUUUUUCAUUGUCACUCAUCCUCCCCCACAAAAUAGAUAUGCUUUGCAAACUUGCUUUGUUAGUUUUUUCUUUUAAAUUGUUGGAAGUUCCUUUCCAUAUGCUGCAGGUGUGGCCCUAAGAAAACAUAACAAAUAAACAAACAAAAAAGACACA
rnacentral:lncRNA from 1 species